AGCAGUAGGGAAUCUUCCACAAUGGACGCAAGUCUGAUGGAGCAACGCCGCGUGGGUGAAGAAGGGUUUCGGCUCGUAAAGCUCUGUUGGUAGUGAAGAAAGAUAGAGGUAGUAACUGGCCUUUAUUUGACGGUAAUUACCUAGAAAGUCACGGCUAACUACGUGCCAGCAGCCGCGGUAAUACGUAGGUGGCAAGCGUUGUCCGGAUUUAUUGGGCGUAAAGCGAGUGCAGGCGGUUCAAUAAGUCUGAUGUGAAAGCCUUCGGCUCAACCGGAGAAUUGCAUCAGAAACUGUUGAACUUGAGUGCAGAAGAGGAGAGUGGAACUCCAUGUGUAGCGGUGGAAU
rnacentral:rRNA from 1 species